rnacentral:tRNA from 1 species
GGAAGAGUCGCCUAGUGGCCGAUGGCGCGCGCUUGGAAAGCGCGUAAGGUGUAAAAGCCUUCGAGGGUUCGAAUCCCUCCUCUUCCGCCA